UACGUAGGUGGCAAGCGUUGUCCGGAAUCACUGGGCGUAAAGCGCGCGCAGGCGGCGAUCUACGUCUGGGGUGAAAGCCCGGAGCUCAACUCCGGGACUGCCUUGGAUACGGGAUCGCUUGAGAAUUGGAGAGGCAAGGGGAAUUCCACGUGUAGCGGUGAAAUGCGUAGAUAUCCGGAGGAACACCAGCGGCGAAGGCGGCUUUCUGGUCCGAUACUGACGCUGAGGUGCGAAAGCGUGGGGAGCGAUCCGG
rnacentral:rRNA from 1 species